rnacentral:rRNA from 1 species
UCCAGACUCCUACGGGAGGCAGCAGUGGGGGAUAUUGCACAAUGGGGGAAACCCUGAUGCAGCGACGCCGCGUGAGUGAAGAAGUAUUUCGGUAUGUAAAGCUCUAUCAGCAGGGAAGAAAAAAGACGGUACCUGACUAAGAAGCCCCGGCUAACUACGUGCCAGCAGCCGCGGUAAUACGUAGGGGGCAAGCGUUAUCCGGAUUUACUGGGUGUAAAGGGAGCGUAGACGGCAAUACAAGUCGGAAGUGAAAUACCCGGGCUCAACCUGGGAACUGCUUUGGAAACUGUAUGGCUGGAGUGCUGGAGAGGUAAGCGGAAUUCCUAGUGUAGCGGUGAAAUGCGUAGAUAUUAGGAGGAACACCAGUGGCGAAGGCGGCUUACUGGACAGUAACUGACGUUGAGGCUCGAAAGCGUGGGGAGCAAACAGGAUUAGAUACCCGGGUA